rnacentral:tRNA from 1 species
GCUAGCGUAGCUUAAAUUAAAGCAUAACACUGAAGAUGUUAAAAUAGGCCUAAAAAGCCUCGAAAGCA